UACGUAGGGGGCUAGCGCUGUCCGGAAUCAUUGGGCGUAAAGCGCGUGUAGGCGGUCCGGUAAGUCCGCUGUGAAAGUCGGGGGCUCAACCCUCGGAUGCCGGUGGAUACUGUCGGGCUUGAGUACGGAAGAGGCGAGUGGAAUUCCUGGUGUAGCGGUGAAAUGCGUAGAUAUCGGAAGGAACAUCAGUGGCGAAAGCGACUUCCUGGACCAGUACCGACGUUCAGGCACGAAAGCGUGGGGAGCAAACAGG
rnacentral:rRNA from 1 species